rnacentral:rRNA from 1 species
AUACGUAGGGGGCGAGCGUUGUCCGGAAUGAUUGGGCGUAAAGGGCGCGUAGGCGGCCCGGUAAGUCUGGCGUGAAAGUCCUGUUUUUAAGAUGGGAAUUGCUUUGGAUACUGUCGGGCUUGAGUGCCGGAGAGGGAAGUGGAAAUCCCAGUGUAGCGGUGAACUGCGUAGAGAUUGGGAGGACAACCAGUGGCGAAGGCGACUUACUGGACUGUAACUGACGCUGAGGCGCGAAAGUGUGGGGAGCAAACAGGAUUAGAUACCCUGGUAGUCCACACUGUAAACGAUGAAUGCUAGGUGUAAGAGGUAUCGACCCCUUUUGUGCCGGAGGCAACACAAUAAGCAUUCCGCCUGGGGAGUACGGCCGCAAGGUUGAAACUCAAAGGAAUUGGCGGGG